rnacentral:rRNA from 1 species
GGGAGCGUAGGCCGGAGAUUAAGCGUGUUGUGAAAUGUAGACGCUCAACGUCUGCACUGCAGCGCGAACUGGUUUCCUUGAGUACGCACAAAGUGGGCGGAAUUCGUGGUGUAGCGGUGAAAUGCUUAGAUAUCACGAAGAACUCCGAUUGCGAAGGCAGCUCACUGGAGCGCAACUGACGCUGAAGCUCGAAAGUGCGGGUAUCGAACAGGAUUAGAUACCCUGGUAGUCCGCACGGUAAACGAUGGAUGCCCGCUGUUGGUCUGAAUAGGUCAGCGGCCAAGCGAAAGCAUUAAGCAUCCCACCUGGGGAGUACGCCGGCAACGGUGCAACUCAAAUGAAUUGACGG